GCUGAUCUACCCACUAAUUAACACUGAGAGGUGAGCCAGACACAAGAAUUAGACGCUACUGAUUCAGCCAUCAAGAUUUAUUCAAGUGUACAUGGCUUGGAACGAACUUGACCCGNNNNNNNNNUUUUUAACUUGGAAAUAGCUGCUUGUGACUUACUGAGCAUAAGAUCCACAUAAACUGCGGUCAAAGUGGCCUCAGGACUGUCAGGUAUAAGAGACAAUGCUUGGGUCACAAAAUGGUGUGCCCGCUCAAGCUCACCUUGUGCUGCAUGCAUGGUUGCAAAAUUGGCAUAAAGGAUACCUUGCGCCUCUUCUGGUUUGAGGAACACAAAACCUUGUGAUUCCUCAGGGGAAGAAAUCUUGGCACUGGUUGAUCCUCCAUUGGUAUCUUCACAAUCGUAAGUUUUCUCCACUCGCCAUUCCUCACAGUCCUCCUGGCUGAAGGGCAACU
rnacentral:misc_RNA from 1 species